AAUGAACGUUGGCGGCGUGGAUUAGGCAUGCAAGUCGAGCGAGAACCGUAGCAAUACGGGGACAGCGGCGAAAGGGAGAGGAAUACGCGGGUACCUACCCUCGGAUCUGGGAUAGCCACGGGAAACUGUGGGUAAUACCAGAUAACGUCUUCGGACCAAAGGUGUGAUUCCGUCCGCGGAGGGGCCCACGUCCUAUUAGCUAGUUGGUGGGGUAAUGGCCUACCAAGGCAAUGAUGGGUACGGGGCGUGAGAGCGUGCCCCCGCUCACUGGGACGGAGACACUGCCCAGACACCGACGGGUGGCUGCAGUCGAGUGUCUUCGGCAAUGGGCGCAAGCCUGACCGGGCGACGCCGCGUGCGGGAUGAAGGCCUUCGGGUUGUAAACCGCCGUCGGAAGGGAGGAAAUGCCUAGGGGUUCUCCCCUAGGUUUGACCUAUCUUCAGAGGAAGUACGGGCUAAGUUCGUGCCAGCCGCCGCCGUAA
rnacentral:rRNA from 1 species